rnacentral:rRNA from 1 species
CCUACGGGUGGCUGCAGUGGGGAAUAUUGGACAAUGGGCGAAAGCCUGAUCCAGCCAUGCCGCGUGUGUGAAGAAGGCCUUCGGGUUGUAAAGCACUUUCAGUGGGGAAGAAAGCCUUGGGGCUAAUACCCUCGAGGAAGGACAUCACCCACAGAAGAAGCACCGGCUAACUCCGUGCCAGCAGCCGCGGUAAUACGGAGGGUGCGAGCGUUAAUCGGAAUUACUGGGCGUAAAGCGCGCGUAGGCGGUCUGAUAAGCCGGUUGUGAAAGCCCCGGGCUCAACCUGGGAACGACAUCCGGAACUGUCAGGCUAGAGUGCAGGAGAGGAAGGUAGAAUUCCCGGUGUAGCGGUGAAAUGCGUAGAGAUCGGGAGGAAUACCAGUGGCGAAGGCGGCCUUCUGGACUGACACUGACGCUGAGGUGCGAAAGCGUGGGUAGCAAACAGGAUUAGAUACCCGAGUAGUC